rnacentral:lncRNA from 1 species
AAACUCUGGAUGAACUGAGAUAAACUGCAGUUUUCUUUGCGCGAAGGUCCUGAGUACCCAGGCCUUUCUUGGGCUUCCAACAGACCAUCACACUCACUGCUCAGAGGCCUCCCUCUCAAAGACGAGCAGCUUGGGUACCUGACUUCUACUCACAUGGUCAAGAGCGGGGGCCUGUUUCUUUUGUUUGCUUUUUGGUUUUUUUGUCUUUUUAUGGCAUAUGGCAGUCCCCAGUCUAGGGUUCAAAUCGGAGCUGUAGCUGCCAGCCUGCACCACAGCCACAGCAAUGCCAGAUCCUUAACCCAUUUAUUGGGGCCAGGGAUCAAAUCUGCAUCCUCGUGGAUGGUAGUCAGACUCCCUUCCACUGAGCUGAGAUGGAAACACCCAAGGGGCCUGUUUGAAACUGGUCUUGGAACUCUGCGCAGGACAUCUGAAUGUGUCACUUGCCAAGGGACGACUACCACCUGUCCCUCCCCUAGCUCUAUUUGUCCUCUGCAAAGUUUCCCUGACCCUCAAGACUGGAGGGUUGUCUUGCUUCCAGAGGAUCUAUGAACCUGCCGGAUGCUUCUAGAAAGCUGGCACUGAGUCUUGUUUAUCACAUCACUUUUUUCCAUGUGCCCACCAUAUUGCCUGAUGUUCAAUAUUUGUUAAAUAAAUUAAUAACCAUAUGUUUAGAGGAGAAGAGUGUUGAGUUCUAGUCGGGGGUUAGCCCCUGACUAGCUAGGUGAUUUGGAGUAAGAGUUCAACUACUAUUUUUCCUAGAUUAACCUAAAAUUCUCAUCAAUUUAAUGUGUGCAUUUUGGAAAAAUUUUUCUGUUUUAAAAUGUUACCUUGUAUUUUUCUUCAUGCUUGAGUAAUUAUGUUCUGAACAGUGCUUUAUAGUUUAUAAUAAUCCUUUUUUGGGCCCUGCCCACAGCUUGUGGAAGUUCCCAAGCCAAGGAUCCAACCACACCACACCACAGCAGCGAUCUGAGCCACUGCAGUGACAAUGCUGGAUCCUUAACUUGCUGCAUCACAAGAGAACUCCUAAUUUAUAAUACUCCUGAUCAACACCAUGUUUUCUCACUAUUGGUAUAUUUUCUUACUACUUAAAAAUUUAAAAAAUUGGGAGUUCCCAUCAAUGGCGCAGUGGUUAACGAAUCCGACUAGGAACCAUGAGGUUGCGGGUUUGAUCCCUGGCCUUGCUCAGUGGGUUAAGGAUCCGCAUUAAUAAUAAAUGACCCCUUAUAUGUCAAGGAUGAAUUGGCUUCCUUCCAGAAGAAAUUUUGACUGAAAGCUAAGUUAUGUAACUUGCCCACAUGCAGGGCUAGCUCUUAAGAGGCAGAUCUAGGAUGUGGCUGUGCAUCUGCUGAGAGCUUUCUGAGGGGUCCGGCUCAGCGGAUAUAAGUAUGCAGAAUGCACAGAGUUUAGGGUAUAAUCAAAUAAGUACACAAAAUUUAUAGUAGCCAACUCUGAUAAGACCUAUCAAAGAAAAAUAUAAGAACUACGAGGUCAUAAAACUGGGGUCUAAUUUGGAGUCAGGAAAGGUGUGUGUGAGAAAAUGCAAGUUCAGCAGAUAUUUAAAAGAAGGAAGAGAGUUAACUGGGCAAAGACGGGAGUAUUACAGGCUGAGGCAUCAGCAUGUGCAAAGGCCCUAAGGUCGGAGGGAGCAAGAUGCAGCCGAGGCACUAAAAGAACAUCAAUGUGGCCAAAGGUCAAAGGGCUGAAGAAUGAGGCAGGGGAAGCUGAGUCCCAGGUCUUGUUAAGGAUCCUGGUCAAUGUCUCAUGAGCAAAAGGGAGCCACCAAAGGGGAUCUGAGGCAGGGUGACACGACCAGAUGCCUACAGUGUAGAAAUCAUUCGAAGCUGAUCUACAUGAUCUGACGGGGGCAGCUGCAGGACUAACCCACUUGUGGGUGGUGGGAAAGGGGUGGGCAAGGGGAGAUGUGUUAAAAGUGGUUGAGCGGGGGAGUUCCCACUGUGGCCCAACGGGCUCAAGGGCAUCUUGGUAGUUCUGGGACACAGGUUUGAUCCCUGGCCUGACACAGUGGGUUACAGAUCCGGCGUUGCCACAGCUGUCGUUCCAAUCUGAUCCCUGGCCCCGGGAACUCCUUAUGCCAUGGGGUGGCCAAAAGAAAAAAAAAAAAAGUGGUUAAGAGGGGAGGUCUUCCCGUGGUCUAGAAGAGAGAUGACAGGCUGGGGGGUGGUGAUGAAGAUGGAGGGGGAAGGACAGUAUUUGAAAAACAGAAGAUUAAAAAAAUCAACAGAACUGGUUGGUUGGUGGAUUAGAUGGAGAAGAGGGGGAGAUUAAGUUGUACUAGGUCACCCUUACAUGUCUAACUCGUGUAAUUAGAUAGACAGUGGGGAUCUCCACCAGUGAAGGGAACACAGACAAAAGGCCAGUUCUGUCCGGGAAGAUCACAAGGUUAGGUCCCGGCAUGCUGGGGUUUUUUUUUUGGUUUUUAAGGGCUG